GCUGGGUGUGGUGGCGAACAUCUAUAAUCCCAGCAACUCUGGAGGCUGGGACAGGAGAAUCAUGAGUUCAAAGCCAGAUUCAGCAACAGCACUAAGCAACUCAGUGAGACCCUGUCUCUA
rnacentral:sRNA from 1 species